UACGGGGGGAGCAAGCGUUGUUCGGAAUCACUGGGCUUAAAGGGCGCGUAGGCGGGCUGUCAAGUCUGGGGUGAAAUCCCACGGCUCAACCGUGGAACUGCCUUAGAUACUGACGGCCUCGAGGAAGGUAGGGGCAUGCGGAACUGUAGGUGGAGCGGUGAAAUGCGUUGAUAUCUACAGGAACUCCGGUGGCGAAAGCGGCGUGCUGGACCUUUUCUGACGCUGAGGCGCGAAAGCUAGGGGAGCAAACGGG
rnacentral:rRNA from 1 species